rnacentral:rRNA from 1 species
CCUACGGGGGGCAGCAGUGAGGAAUAUUGGUCAAUGGGCGAGAUCCUGAACCAGCCAAGCCGCGUGAGGGAAGAAGGUCCUAUGGGUUGUAAACCUCUUUUGUCGGAGAACAAAACCCGGGACGUGUCCCGGGCUGAGUGUAUCCGAAGAAAAAGCAUCGGCUAACUCCGUGCCAGCAGCCGCGGUAAUACGGAGGAUGCGAGCGUUAUCCGGAUUUAUUGGGUUUAAAGGGUGCGUAGGCGGUCCGUUAAGUCAGCGGUAAAAUGGCGGGGCCCAACCCCGCCCAGCCGUUGAAACUGGCAGUCUGGAGGUGGCGAGAAGUAUGCGGAAUGCGCGGUGUAGCGGUGAAAUGCAUAGAUACCGCGCAGAACUCCGAUUGCGAAGGCAGCAUGCCGGCCCCACACUGACGCUGAGGCACGAAGGCGGGGGUAUCGAACAGGAUUAGAUACCCUGGUAGUC